rnacentral:rRNA from 1 species
UGGGGAAUAUUGCACAAUGGGCGCAAGCCUGAUGCAGCCAUGCCGCGUGUGUGAAGAAGGACUUCGGGUUGUAAAGCACUUUCAGCGGGGAGGAAGGCGAUAAGGUUAAUAACCUUGUCGAUUGACGUUACCCGCAGAAGAAGCACCGGCUAACUCCGUGCCAGCAGCCGCGGUAAUACGGAGGGUGCAAGCGUUAAUCGGAAUUACUGGGCGUAAAGCGCACGCAGGCGGUUUGUUAAGUCAGAUGUGAAAUCCCCGGGCUCAACCUGGGAACUGCAUCUGAUACUGGCAAGCUUGAGGCUCGUAGAGGGGGGUAGAAUUCCAGGUGUAGCGGUGAAAAGCGUAGAGAUCUGGAGGAAUACCGGUGGCGAAGGCGGCCCCCUGGACGAAGACUGACGCUCAGGUGCGAAAGCGUGGGGAGCAAACAGG